UGUCCCAUGGCUUAGUUGGUGACGUCGCCCGAGUGUCAUAAUAUUCACUUGAUUUCCGAGGAUAUACAUCGGGAGAUCGAGAGUUCAAGUCUCUCUGGGACAG